ensembl:lncRNA
CACUCUGAGUCAGGCCUAGGUCAAAAGGUCAACAACGUAAAACCCAGUUCCGAUACAUUCCCGAGCACAAACACACCCCACACACACACUAGCAUGCAUACGAACCUGUUCAUAAAGUCGAGCACUUCGAAAGUUUUAACAUCGGAAAAGGUUCGACCGAAUUUCCAGAGUCUAUUCUUCACUACUUCCAGAAUCAAACACUUCGAAAGUUUGAACAUCGGCAAAGUUCAACAGAAUUUCCAGAGUCUAUCCUUCACUACUUCCAGACACCAUGGAUUUCUCGGCAGUGCAAGACCGAGUUAAGCUCAUCUGAUUCUAGUGUAUAGACAGCUUGGUGAUUAUUUCUGAUGAUGAGAUUCCCGAAACAACCACUCAUGGCCUUUUGAAUCUGAGCUCCACACAAUUUGAGGGAAACGUGACUAACAGUGAUUACGACGGAGAUAUUUCAGGUGAGUUGUAGUAUAUUUACCUUCUAUUUACACAGCACAAAAAAUAAAUAAAUAAAAGCUCUUUCACAUGUUCUGUGACUUAUAGAUACGAGUGAUGCAAUAGAAGACCAA